rnacentral:tRNA from 1 species
GCCGGAAUAGCUCAGUUGGGAGAGCGUCAGACUGAAGAUCUGAAGGUUCCUUGUUCAACCCCAGGUUCCGGCA